GCUCCUGAUGUUAGCGGCGGACGGGUGAGUAACACGUGGGUAACCUGCCUGUAAGACUGGGAUAACUCCGGGAAACCGGGGCUAAUACCGGAUGGUUGUUUGAACCGCAUGGUUCAGACAUAAAAGGUGGCUUCGGCUACCACUUACAGAUGGACCCGCGGCGCAUUAGCUAGUUGGUGAGGUAACGGCUCACCAAGGCGACGAUGCGUAGCCGACCUGAGAGGGUGAUCGGCCACACUGGGACUGAGACACGGCCCAGACUCCUACGGGAGGCAGCAGUAGGGAAUCUUCCGCAAUGGACGAAAGUCUGACGGAGCAACGCCGCGUGAGUGAUGAAGGUUUUCGGAUCGUAAAGCUCUGUUGUUAGGGAAGAACAAGUGCCGUUCAAAUAGGGCGGCACCUUGACGGUACCUAACCAGAAAGCCACGGCUAACUACGUG
rnacentral:rRNA from 1 species